UGAGAUGUUGGNUUAAGUCCCGCAACGAGCGCAACCNUUGCCCCUAGUUGCCAUCACUUCGGGUGGGCACUCUAGGGGGACCGCCUGUGAAAGCCAGGAGGAAGGUGGGGAUGACGUCUGGUCCGCAUGGCCCUUACGGCCUGGGCGACACACGUGCUACAAUGGCCGGUCCAGAGCGCUGCGACCUCGCGAGAGGAAGCCAAUCGCUAAACCGGUCUCAGUUCGUUGGAGUCUGCAACCCGACUCCAUGAAGUCGGAUCGCUAGAAUCGCGAAUCAGCCAUGUCGCGGUGAU
rnacentral:rRNA from 1 species